UCCUUUCAGUUCUUGCCCCUUGACCUUCUCCACUUCAACUUCUUACUAGCUGUUCUGUUUUGCUAUUUUAAGUUUUAAUGCCGUCUUCUCUUCCUCUUUUACCUUAUAUAUUUUCUUUUUCCCUCCAUCACUUAACUUUGUUCCUCGCCUGCCUUCUCUUUUCAAGGCAACCACUAGUAGCGUUUAUCCUUAUUUUCAUUCUUCCUUUACAUCUAUCUUCCUUCUCCAUUUCUCUCUUUCCUUCUCUAUUUCUCGUUGAUUUUCCAUUUCUUGUUGAUUUUCCAUUUCUCUCUUUCCUUUUCUAUUUCUCUCGUUUCUUCUCCUUUCCUCGUUGAUUUUCCAUUUCUCGUUCCUUCUCCAUUUCUCUCUUUUCUUCUCUGUUUCUCUCGUUUCUUCUUCUUUCCUCGUUGAUUUUCCAUUUCUCUCUUUCCUUCUCUAUUUCUCUCGUUUCUUCUUCUUUCCUCGUUGAUUUUCCAUUUCUCGUUCCUUUUCCAUUUCUCUCGGUCUUUCUUUUUCAUCUUUCUUCUUCAUCUCCACCGCCACCGCUACUUCCACCAUCACCACCUCAACUACAAGCACAAGCACUAACCUCCUCCUCCUCCUCCUCCUCCUCCUCCUCCUCUUCCUCCACCUCUUCCAACUACUGUCUUGCCCCAAUCACCACCUCCAUCGUCUAAAUCACGAGACAUUAAGAGCGCCAGCAGCAACUUCAACGACUCAUUCUCCUCCUCCUCCUCCUCCUCCUCUUCCUCCUCAUCCUCAUUUUCACUUUCUCUUCUUUUUCUUUUUCUUUUCUUGUUCGUUUUUUUCCCCUCUUCUUUAUCCUUUCCUUUUUUUCUUCUUCUCCCCCUGUAAAGCACCUAUAAAUAUGCAAGGGGUCACUGCGGGGAUCUUGGAGUGUAGGACGCAAGAAGUUAUGUUAUUUUUGCGUAAAUCGUUCGUAAGUCCUCACCAGAAAUACGCUAUUCAGUUAUGGUCGCAUAAUAACAAAAAUAACGUCAACUUACUUGAGAGCGUAGCGACGUGCCACAAAAAUGACACGAUCGUUUCGGGAACAGUCGUGUGGAGAACGGUUGAGGUGGCUACACGCUGUUAUGCUGGAAAAAAAGACGAGUACAGUGACAUGUGAUACCAGUCUUUGUGUAGCUGAAAUAGUUUAAUAAGGCUGAUCACUGUAAAUUAUUUGAGCUUCGAACUAACCAGAUAAGUCAUUGUGUAGCUGAAAUAGUUUAAUAAGGCUGAUCACUUUAGAAUAUUUGAGCUUCGAACUAUCCAGAUAAGUCUUUGUGUAGCUGAAAUAGUUUAAUAAGGUUGUUCACUGUAAAUUAUUUGAGCUUCGAACUAUCCAGAUAAGUCUUUGUGUAGCUGAAAUAGUUUAAUAAGGUUGAUCACUGUAAAUUAUUUGAGCUUCGAACUAUCCAGAUAAGUCUUUGUGUAGCUGAAAUAGUUUAAUAAGGCUAAUCACUGUAAAUUAUUUGAGCUUCGAACUAACCAGAUAAGUCUUUGUGUAGCUGAAAUAGUUUAAUAAGGUUGAUCACUUUAAAAUAGUUGAGCUUCGAACUAACCAGAGAAGUAGAAAUAUGGAAAACUAACUCAAGGAAGGACUACAAUAAAUACACGGCAGUUUUGUUUUUCUCAAGCCGACUUAUCCGCCCUUUGAGCACCACCCUUCCUGAAGAAGUAGUUGAUGCGAAAACGGUCGAAUUAUUUUAGAGCUCUUUGACAGUUACUUUGCUCUACGACAGGAGUUAAUCGAACCUUCCAUUCGCCAAUACAGAAAAGGCUUUAAAAUGUUCCGAAGCAGCCUCUUUCUAAGCAGGCAGCCUCGUUAUGAACAAAUAAGACUUAUUUUGCCUGCUACUCUAUGCUUAAAUGUUUCCAUCCCUCCACUUCCUUCUCUUUGGGAUGGAGGGCUUUUAUAAGUGGGAUAUCUAUAAGGUUCUGUUGGUAAGAGAACUGGGUAGGACACGCAGUAAUGGGUUUAAACUGGAUAAAUUCAGAUUCAACAGGUACAUAGGCAAAAAUUUGUUUACUAACUGAGUGGUAGACGAGUGGAACAGGCUGGGCAGUCAUGUGGUGAGUGCCAAUACUAUAGUCACAUUAGAUUAGAUAAAUUCAUGUUUAAUGAUGCUAGGUGGGGUUAGGUUCACGGGAGAUUAGGUUCACAGGAGCUGCCUUGUACUGGCCUCUUGCAGACUCCUUACGUUCUUAUGUUCUUAUGUUCCUUGUCCUCCUCCUCCUCCUCCUCCUCCUCCUCCUCCUCCUCCAUUUUCUCUUCCUCCACCACCUCUAUUUUCUUUUCCUCCUAAACCUCCACCACCUCCUCCCCCUCCUCCUAAGCCCUACUUUCGGCUGUCUCUUCACAACUACAGUCACGUUCCUCGACCCGUUCCUUCCCGCCCGUUCCCUUCCUGCCCCUCAUGGCGGACCAAGCGAAAACGCGUGAGUGCCGGGACGAGGGAAGGAGGACAACACAUAAAGGGAAAUAAACGAUUUUACGACGAAGCGCCUCCGUCAAGCCGUGUUUUCCUACAUAUCUUACGAGCGAUUCUUGUGGGAUGAUUUUUACCUGAUUCUGAGGAUGACGGAUAGGGGUUUGUUAUAGGAGAAAGCCUUAAAAUGAAACGUUGUCAAUAUGCUGAAAGGACUACACAUUAUGUUACAAUUUGACAUUAAAUCGAUGUUAUAAGGAUACCGAAAAACACAUUAUCGAAUAGCUGCAUACAUGUGUGCGUAUCGAUCGACCUAACUUGCAUUCGAUAUGGCAACGACACGAGAAGUAAGUUUAGGAAAGAGUAGGCAUUGACCCGUUAGCAGCGACGGGCCAAAUUUGUGGCUUUACCGUGUACCAGCGAAGGGCCAAAUUUGUGCCAUGAUAAAGAUCCCCCAAAAUAGAUGAUGCAUAAACUGAUCACAAAUACAUUGAUAUAUAUUAUGAAAUGGUUUGCGUGAGUGAUGACUGUUUCUCAUUUUUCUUGCUUAGAGGGACCUUUAGGAAACAUUGUCCCCGCACCUACCGGGUUAAAUCGUUUUGAAUGAUUGAAAUACCUAAUUGAUAGACGGAAAGAUUAAUGACUAGUACAUAUAUUGGUAUACAUUACAAAAGAAAAUAAGGGACCAAAUGAAUAAAAUAAAUAGCUUUCAUAAUCUGUGAAUGUAGUGGAACAGCAUAAAGAUACAUCAAUUAACCCGGUAGCAGCGGGGAUCAUGUUUCUUAAUGGUCCCCCUAAGCGAGAAAAAUUAGAAAAAAUCAUCACUCACACAAACCAUUUCAUUAUAUAUAUAUCAAAGCAUUUGUGAUCAGUUUAUGUAUUAUCUAUUUUUUGGGGGUUAAAUCAUGGCACAAAUUUGGACCGUCGCUGCUACACGGUAAAGUCACAAAUUUGGCCCGUCGCUGCUACACGGUAAAGUCACAAAUUUGGCCCGUCGCUGCUAUACGGUAAAGUCACAAAUUUGGCCCGUCGCUGCUACAUGGUAAAGCCACAAAUUUGGCCCGUCGCUGCUACACGGUAAAGCCACAAAUUUGGCCCGUCGCUGCUACAUGGUAAAGCCACAAAUUUGGCCCGUCGCUGCUACACGGUAAAGCCACAAAUUUGGCCCGUCGCUGCUACAUGGUAAAGCCACAAAUUUGGCCCGUCGCUGCUACCGGGUUAAUGCUAGCCAACAGGUAGAAAGAGAAAAUUCCGAGCACACUCAUAAAUAAAACAUGUGAGGGCUAAGAAAAGUGACGUAAAUGAUGAACAAACAGCGCCGGAAGCCCGGGGAAAAUGGAGGGAUAAACACACACACACACACACACACACACACACACACACACACACACACACACACACCGUACAAAACAGUUACCUAAAAUAAUAUACAACAUGAAAUACAACAUCCCGAAACGAAAUGAUGAACAAACAGCGCCGAAAACUCAGGAAAAAUGGAGGGAUAAACACACACACACACACACACACACACACACACACACACACACACACACGUUACAAAACAAAGUUACCUAAUAAAAUAAUACAACAUGAAAUACAACAUCCCGAAACACAGAGGAACAAAAACAAAUGCACGACAGAAAACAAAUUAAAUCACACGAGAGAAUGGAGCAGCGUGC